UUUUCUCCCUCUUAAAAUUGCGGAACCAGAUUAAGAUUGUUGAACUGCCCAACCUAAUCUCCACUUCGAGUGAAUCAUCAACAGUGACGCUUGCUUGCCCUUCCUCACUAAAUCAAAAUUUUCUCUCCAAACAACCACAGGCACUCCGCCUCGACGACGCCGGAAAAUCUUGAAAGGUCUCUUUUUUAGAUUUUUCAGUUCUUCAAAGUUUCAGCCUUGGAGCCUUUUGAUCUUUGCCACAUCUGUUUCGUCCCAAAAAUCAACCCUUGAUUCUCCUCGGAUCAUCUUCACAUAAAAGAGAGAGAGAGAGAGAGAGAGAGAGAGAGAGAGAGAGAGAGAGAGGAAGGGUGGUGGAGACCGUGGGAUGGUUAUGGUGGUCAGCUGUUGGAGUUGGGUAGGUGGUUCCUCGGGGGCUAUUGGGCUGUUGGGUUUUUACUUUUUUAGUUUUAAUGUUUUUAAUUGAAUAAUAAGUUAACAGAUAGUUGAAUGAUAAGUUAACAGAGUUAGGUUAAUUGUAAAUGAGAGGACAUGUGUCACAAAAAUAAGGGAGAAACAAGGUGGCACGUGGAAAAUGGCAACAGGAAAAAUGAGCUCCCUUGGGUCAAGUCUCCUUUAUUUCGU
rnacentral:lncRNA from 1 species